CCCAGACUCCUACGGGAGGCAGCAGUGAGGAAUAUUGGUCAAUGGGCUUACGCCUGAACCAGCCAAGUCGCGUGAGGGAAGACUGCCCUAUGGGUUGUAAACCUCUUUUGUCAGGGAGCAACGCCGGCUACGUGUAGCCGGACUGAGAGUACCUGAAGAAAAAGCAUCGGCUAACUCCGUGCCAGCAGCCGCGGUAAUACGUAGGGGGCAAGCGUUAUCCGGAUUCACUGGGUGUAAAGGGAGCGUAGACGGCGACGCAAGUCUGGAGUGAAAGCCCGGGGCUCAACUCCGGGACUGCUUUUGAAACUGCGUUGCUAGAUUGCGGGAGAGGCAAGUGGAAUUCCUAGUGUAGCGGUGAAAUGCGUAGAUAUUAGGAGGAACACCAGUGGCGAAGGCGGCUUGCUGGACCGUGAAUGACGCUGAGGCUCGAAAGCGUGGGGAGCAAACAGGAUUAGAUACCCCCGUAC
rnacentral:rRNA from 1 species